AUCCUAAAUUUUAAAUAUAGUCAUAUUAUAUGUCGUUGGACUCGGUUUUGAAUGUAGAAUGCGAUGAUGAUAAUUAUUUAAUCAUUUGAUGGUAUAGGUGAGAGUAAUAUGUAAGUUUGGACUAAACAAUGGGAGCUCGGGACUUGAGAGCUUAAGAUCGUCUUUUGGAAAAAGUUUAACAACUCGGGAGAGGAACUCAGUUUGAUGCUAGUGGAUGAGGAUGGUACUGUUGGGAAAGGAAUGUCGUUAUUAGUUUAGUCAUAUUUUACUCUUUCACCUUCUAAUGAGACUGAUUUUGUAUUUAAGAACCAAUGGAUGGUCUGGAUGACUUAAAUUAGCUAUGUACUAGUUAGAAAUGAGAAAUGAUGGAUGCUAGGUAUUAUUUUGGUAUUUUAUUGACUUAUUAAAUCUAUCUAUUUGGUGAUUACAUAA